AGUUGAUCAUCUUUAGUUCUCAGAAAGAGAGGUGAAGUUAUUGGUGCGUACUUUCUCAUCCGAGUAGUCUACAGGUCCUAGCCGACACAACGUCUCUGAUAUUCUCAGAGACAUAAAAGGACAUGGAUAUGAAGCCUCUGAUGAUUCUCCUCCUGCUAGCAGCAAACUUGCAAGGAAUCACCACCACCACUCCUGCAGCAGCUGCUACCACCAACACCCCUGCAGCAGCUGUCACCACCACCACUCCUGCAGCAGCUGUCACCACCACCACUCCUGCAGCAGCUGUCACCACCACCACUCCUGCAGCAGCUGCUACCACCACCACCCCUGCAGCAGCUGUCACCACCACCACUCCUGCAGCAGCUGUCACCACCACCACUCCUGCAGCAGCUGUC